UACGUAGGGGGCAAGCGUUGUCCGGAAUUAUUGGGCGUAAAGCGCGUGUAGGCGGCCAGAUAAGUCCGCUGUGAAAUCUCGAGGCUCAACUUCGAGCUGUCGGUGGAAACUGUCUGGCUAGAGUCCGGAAGAGGAGAAUGGAAUUCCUGGUGUAGCGGCGAAAUGCGCAGAUAUCAGGAAGAACACCCGUGGCGAAGGCGGUUCUCUGGGACGGUACUGACGCUGAGACGCGAAAGCGUGGGGAGCGAACAGG
rnacentral:rRNA from 1 species